rnacentral:rRNA from 1 species
GACGAACGCUGGCGGCGUGCUUAACACAUGCAAGUCGAACGAAGAGCGAUGGAAGCUUGCUUCUAUCAAUCUUAGUGGCGAACGGGUGAGUAACGCGUAAUCAACCUGCCCUUCAGAGGGGGACAACAGUUGGAAACGACUGCUAAUACCGCAUACGAUCUAAUCUCGGCAUCGAGGAUAGAUGAAAGGUGGCCUCUACAUGUAAGCUAUCACUGAAGGAGGGGAAUGCGUCUGAUUAGCUAGUUGGAGGGGUAACGGCCAACCAAGGCGAGGCUCAGUAGGCGGUCUGAGAAGAUGAACGGCCACAUUGGGAACGAGACACCGCCCAGGAUCCUACGGGAGGCAGCAGUGGGGGAUCUUCCGGAAUGGACGAAAGUCUGACGGAGCAACGCCGCGUGAGUGAUGACGGCCUUCGGGUUGUAAAGCUCUGUUAAUCGGGACGAAAGGCCUUCUUGCGAAUAGUGAGAAGGAUUGACGGUACCGGAAUAGAAAGCCACGGCUAACUACGUG